UGGGGAAUAUUGGACAAUGGGCGAAAGCCUGAUCCAGCCAUGCCGCGUGUGUGAAGAAGGUCUUCGGAUUGUAAAGCACUUUAAGUUGGGAGGAAGGGCAGUAAGCGAAUACCUUGCUGUUUUGACGUUACCGACAGAAUAAGCACCGGCUAACUCUGUGCCAGCAGCCGCGGUAAUACAGAGGGUGCAAGCGUUAAUCGGAAUUACUGGGCGUAAAGCGCGCGUAGGUGGUUCGUUAAGUUGAAUGUGAAAGCCCCGGGCUCAACCUGGGAACUGCAUCCAAAACUGGCGAGCUAGAGUAGGGCAGAGGGUGGUGGAAUUUCCUGUGUAGCGGUGAAAUGCGUAGAUAUAGGAAGAAACACCAGUGGCGAAGGCGACCACCUGGGCUCAUACUGACACUGAGGUGCGAAAGCGUGGGGAGCAAACAGG
rnacentral:rRNA from 1 species